rnacentral:tRNA from 1 species
UUUAUAAUAGUUUAAGUAAAACGUAUCAUUUUCAAUGAUGAGAAGAUUAUUAAAAUCUUAUAAUU